UGGUAGCAAUACCUGGUGGCGACCGGCGGACGGGUGCGUAACACGUAUGCAACCUACCCUGUACAGGGGGAUAGCCCGAAGAAAUUCGGAUUAAUACCCCAUACGAUAAGAAUCGGCAUCGAUUUUUAUUGAAAGCUCCGGCGGUACAGGAUGGGCAUGCGCCCCAUUAGCUAGUUGGUGAGGUAACGGCUCAUCAAGGCUACGAUGGGUAGGGGGCCUGAGAGGGUGAUCCCCCACACUGGAACUGAGACACGGUCCAGACUCC
rnacentral:rRNA from 1 species